rnacentral:lncRNA from 1 species
GGAAUUUAAAGACGGCUGCUAUUGGAGUCGAACAAGGUGGCAGCUUGCGAAAUAUACAUAGACACACGCAGGAGUUGGAAAAAGAAAGAAGGCGGCUGGGGAGAGACGCACGCAACAAGAGAGAAAAAAGGUGGCGGCUGAAUUGGGCUGAUAAUCGAGUAACGAACACGCAAAUGGAAGAGAAUUUUGAACAAGCAGCACGGACUGCAGUUUCACUUUGAAAAAUUAUCACGUUACAUUGGAUGAUUUUCUUUCACUUUUAUUUGUUUG